GAACCUCACGAGGAGAGAGAGUAGGGGUUUGUUGUCAACGUAGAACGUGUUGACAAAUAACUACCCAAAGAAGGAGACUAUGUAGUAAGGGAACCCACUAGAACCUUUCUUUCUUCGGGGAAAAAAAGUCCGAAAGGGAAAGGUCACACCACGCUUCGCGAAAGGCCGCAUAUCGAAUGGAAACGAACACACGACAAGGACUCACCUUAUUUCGGUCUCGCACGUAAGAACACCGAACCCUAUCCCAUCCUAAGAAGGAAGAAGGUGUCGGUACACGACCUACGUCGAAACUCGAAACCAUUAACGAAGAUCCGAGAUCGGUGGGGGUCAGGGUCGAAAUCGGUAGUUCUAGGUCGUGGUUUUUCGGAACUCGACGUAACAUCACUCCCCAACAGAACAGGGGAUCGAACCGAGCGAGAAAUAAGGAGUAUAAUAGACAGGAAUGAGACGGAGGUCUAGUUUCUAGUUCUUGUGUUGAGGGACAAAGGGCUCCUCUUUUCCUUAGUCCCUGUCCUCCGAGUUCGUCGUCGUCUGAGAGGAGUUCCAUGAUCACGAUUUAAUGCGACCUAACCACUAGAAAGAACACAAGAAAAACAAGACUUCUUCGAUAAACCCUCUUCGAGGAUAUAAUUAACCCAGGUUCUCCCCGAUGUCUACGUUGUUAGUAUUCAUACUUCGUCUACUUCGAAGAGACUCCUUCCUUCCUUCCUUCUUCUUCUUCGAGAACUAAAGAAACGUACCUCUUCCUCCGGUACCCCCCCGUACAUUUAUAUUACGACGGUGACCUCUUGGACUCGAGCCUAGAGGGGUUGCCACCUCAGCAUGAACCGGUACUGUUCCUUUAGAGUUGAGACGUACUUCUCUAAAGACGAGACUCUAGCUCCGUCUCCGUAGAGUUGGCCUCCUCUGCACUCCGCGACCUGUUCGAGUAUCUGGACUUUCCUUCGUAGUCCCACAAGACGGCUCAGGCCGGCAGCUAGAGUUGGUCGUUGUAGUUCUAGUUUAGUGGUCAAUGACAGCUUGUUCUCUUGUAGGAUCAAGCCCGUCACCCCUAGUUCUUUCUAAAGUCACAACUAGCCCACAAACUAGUCCUCAGUUGCGUUCUACUACACAAGGUACUGCACUUCGGUUAGGAGGCUAGACGUGAACUGCCCGUGUUGCAGACGUAGGAACGAAAGCCGGUUUGACCCUGGCCUUUCUGGAUAUGUUACCUUCCUUGAUCGCUAUUGGAGCCGCAGCACGGAGCUCGCUAAGUCCUCGACAAGAGAGUACGACGAGUUCUAUGAAGUAGGUGUAUAAGAAAGAGGUAUUCGUACGAACUCCACAUGUACCCUUCAGAGUCCCUGAACAACCGUGGUUCCGUCGUCGGAGAGAAGUCCAGGUGUCUUCCGUUAUGUUGAACAUUGGAGUCGUAAGAUCGUUGGUGUUCACCGAGGCACGUUCAGCUCCCCGAAUGGCUACAGCGUCAUGGCCUGGAGUUCUUCCGGUUGGUCACCAUGACGUCUCCCGCCGCUAGGGCCAGCUGUAGGACCUGUUUACAGUUGUUACAAAGCUCGGCUAGUGUGACAAACUGUUCUUAGUGGUAUUCCUCUACACCUCCACACUCACUCGUUCAGUCGUUCGACACCGAGCACCUAGAACCACCGUCGCUCGCCAACGAGUUCUGACCACGUAGACCCAACUGUUACCUACUCCCGUUCCGAUAUUUGGACAGAGACAGUCGAGAACCUCUACAGUAGCGACGUGAUUCCUCUUUCUCUUCGGUACAAGGUAUGUCUUUAUCGUUCGAAUGGGUCUAAGAGUCGCUAAGAGAGCCGCUACCGAGUUUUCAACACUACCACCACGUGUAGUCGGGAAGGUUCCUCCUGCACCCGCUCUGUUAAACAAGCGACCCGAAACGCUUUUCUCGGUACGACUAUCUUAGGUCGUCUCUCGAAAGUCUCCUGGACUUUUACAACUUCGCCUUCGCCGAGCGACUCGAGCUGUUCCUCUACGCGCUGCGGCUCGUCCUCGAGCCCCAAGACUUACUCGUUUAUUCCUCGCGGCUCUGCAGCCGCCGCCUCCUCUCCUUCUUCGAGAGAGGGAGGCAGCGGACAGUCCGAGAGUCGCUGCUCUUCCCCAGCGGGUCUUCGUAAGACCACAGUCCCGUACAACUACUACGGCGCCUAUCGGGAGUCCGUUGGGUCUCCCGGUUCUCGUCCUACUACCAGGUAGUACCCAGUCAGGGAGUGAAGUACAGGCGUUGCCACACGUCGGCAGUUUCCGUGCCGCGCCGUUGGGUAAGGCGGCCAUUUGGCUCCGACUGUUCUAGUCACUUGCGGAUGAGUAGAUUCGGGCCGCCCUCGGUCAGCAAGUCGGUGAGGCGUAGGUUCCGAUCCAGCAGCCACCGUAAGAGUAGGCCACUCGGAUCCGACUUUAUGAACAGACAGUUUAGGCUAGUCUAGUUGCAUUCGUCGUUGUCGUAGCUAAGCUGCCGCCGCAGCCGCGGAGCCGGAGCCGGUUCCCUCUCGAAACAAAGGUCCGGCCACGUCUCUCGAGGGGACGUAGUCGUGUCCUCUUCCUACAGUACGAAUUGGACUCGAGUGUCUUUAUGACGUAUGUCUAACGUAUGGUGACUAACACUGAACAACAAACCACCGGUUUACAAAACCUUUGAUGGUACAGAUGUCGACAAACUAUUCAUCAAACCAACACAAUUGAACACAUUGAUGACCUCCCGGGAAGGAAACGAGAAAAACCAAAGUUUGCCUUCCCGUGUUCCUACACUCGCACUCCCCAUACCAUUUACAACAUUGACAUUAACCUAAACCGAUUAAGAAAACUAACGAGACAACUUAACAUUAAACUUUUCCUUUUUGUUUACGUCAUGUAGUAGUGAAUUAUAUGACAAGACUAAUUC
rnacentral:rRNA from 1 species